UACAGAGGGUGCAAGCGUUAAUCGGAAUUACUGGGCGUAAAGCGUGCGUAGACGGUUGCGUAAGUCAGAUGUGAAAGCCCCGGGCUCAACCUGGGAAUUGCAUUUGAGACUGCGUAGCUAGGGUGCGGAAGAGGGAAGCGGAAUUUCCGGUGUAGCGGUGAAAUGCGUAGAUAUCUGGAGGAACACCGGUGGCGAAGGCGGCAUCCUGGACCGAUAUUGACGCUGAUGCGCGAAAGCCAGGGGAGCAAACGGG
rnacentral:rRNA from 1 species